CCUACGUGGGGCAGCAGUGAGGAAUAUUGGUCAAUGGGCGCGAGCCUGAACCAGCCAAGUAGCGUGAAGGAUGACUGCCCUACGUGUUGUAAACUUCUUUUAUCACGGAAUCAAGUGAGGCACGUUUGCCUUUUUGUCUGUACUUUAUGAAUAAGGAUCGGCUAACUCCGUGCCAGCAGCCGCGGUAAUACGGAGGAUCCGAGCGUUAUCCGGAGUUAUUGGGUUUAAAGGGAGCGUAGAUGGGUUGUUAAGUCAGUUGUGAAAGUUUGCGGCUCAACCGUAAAAUUGCAAUUGAUACUGGCAGUCUUGAGUACAGUUGAGGUAGGCGGAAUUCGUGGUGUAGCGGUGAAAUGCUUAGAUAUCACGAAGAACUCCGAUUGCGAAGGCAGCUUACUAAACUGCCACUGACAUUGAUGCUCGAAAGUGUGGGUAUCAAACAGGAUUAGAUACCCCUGUAGUC
rnacentral:rRNA from 1 species